UGCGUGACCCUGAGAAUAAGGCUUAGUCCUGGGAGAGUCCACCAGAAGCAUCACCAUCUUCAGUCUUGCUCUCUAUUGUGUCUCUCCCCAGCUGGAUGCCACCCACACCAGGCAUGAGUGAGGUCGAGGCAGUGCCCCCAACACCAGAAGAGCCCUCCCUGGGGACUUUAAACUCUGCUCCAACAAGCCGAACUCCUGAGGCUGAGAAAAAAGUCAAGUUUGCUGGGGGUGGAAUUAUUCUGAACAGCGAAGCACUGAGCAACAUGCAGCCAGUCAGCGCAGCAAAGUAAGGGAGAAUCCCAGGAGGGAACGUGGCCCGGUGGGUUUGGUUUGUACACCCGUCACAGACUUCUGAAGGGGUGACGUGCAUCACUGCUCCACUGAGGGAGAGCCUCUGCCAUGUUUACUGUCAUGUUCCAAGUGUUGAAGAAGGCUGAGUUGUUUGCUGUGCCUCAAGGCGUGAGGAUGAGGGGGAGCAGCCUGGAGUUCCUGCCUGGCUCAGGGGGAGGUUGGACUGGAUUAGACGGCUGACAGCUGGGCCACAUCUCUGGAGGCGUGGGGCGAAGAGGCCCCCUGUCUGCCUGCCUCUGCACCAAGUGUCAAUUUGAGCAUGAAGGAAGGAUGGAGUGAGCCA